rnacentral:misc_RNA from 1 species
GAUGAAGAACGUAGCGAAAUGCGAUAAGUAAUGUGAAUUGCAGAAUUCAGUGAAUCAUCGAAUCUUUGAACGCACAUUGCGCCCACUAGUAUUCUGGUGGGCAUGCCUGUUCGAGCGUCAUUAUAACCCCUCAAGCUCAGCUUGGUGUUGGGGCCUGCUGCACUGGCAGCCCUUAAAAUCAGUGGCGGCGCCAUCUGGCUCUAAGCGUAGUAAUUCUUCUCGCUAUGGAGUCCUGGUGGAUGCUUGCCAUCAACCCCCAAUUUUUCUAUGGUUGACCUCGGAUCAGGUAGGGAUACCCGCUGAACUUAAGCAUAUCAAUAAGCGGAGGA